UCCUUCAGUGGUGUAGUGGUAGAGCACGCGUUCUCGGUAUGGAUGGAACGCUUGUUCAAUUCCCGGCUGAGGGCA